UACCCAGCAACUCCUAUCCUUACCUCCUCGUGAUACUGGCCGGGGUACGAGUAACCUUAGGGAAGAUCGGGUAACCAACCCCGGUGGGUGCUUAGGUUGUAUGCCGACAGGGGAGG
rnacentral:ribozyme from 1 species